UGGCGACCGGCGCACGGGUGAGUAACGCGUAUCCAACCUGCCCUUUACUAUGGGACAGCCCGUCGAAAGGCGGAUUAAUACCGUAUGUUGUCAUGUUGAUGCAUAUUUUCAUGACCAAAGGCUUCGGCCGGUAAAGGAUGGGGAUGCGUCUGAUUAGCUUGCCGGCGGGGUAACGGCCCACCGGGGCGACGAUCAGUAGGGGUUCUGAGAGGAAGGUCCCCCACACUGGAACUGAGACACGGUCCAAACUCCUACGGAAGGCAGCAG
rnacentral:rRNA from 1 species